CAUCCCCAUGACGAUUCGGUUUUUUCGUCAUAAAAGUAGUGGGCUGACUUUUAUCUGAUGAAUCUAAGCUUCCGAGGGAUG